AGCGAACGCUGGUGGCAGGCCUAACACAUGCAAGUCGAACGAACCCUUCGGGGUUAGUGGCGGACGGGUGAGUAACACGUGGGAACGUGCCUUUAGGUUCGGAAUAACUCAGGGAAACUUGUGCUAAUACCGAAUGUGCCCUUCGGGGGAAAGAUUUAUCGCCUUUAGAGCGGCCCGCGUCUGAUUAGCUAGUUGGUGAGGUAAUGGCUCACCAAGGCUACGAUCAGUAGCUGGUCUGAGAGGAUGACCAGCCACAUUGGGACUGGGACACGGCCCAAACUCCUACGGGAGGCAGCAGUGGGGAAUCUUGCGCAAUGGGCGAAAGCCUGACGCAGCCAUGCCGCGUGGAUGAUGAAGGUCUUAGGAUUGUAAAAUCCUUUCACCGGUGAAGAUAAUGACUGUAGCCGGAGAAGAAGCCCCGGCUAACUUCGUGCCAGCCGCCGCUGUAAUAC
rnacentral:rRNA from 1 species